CGGCCGACCUCCGGCGAGGUUUCCGGCGAAGUUUCCGGCCGACCUCCGACGAGAUUUCCGACUGACCUCCGGCGAGGUUUCCGGCCGACCUCCGACGAUGACAAAAAUUACUACUACCAGCUAAAAAACUACUACCACCAGCUAUAAAAGCUACUACCACCACCUACAAAAGCUACUACAAAAGUUUCCGGCCAACCUCCGGCGAGAUUUCCGACCGACCUCCUGCGAGGUUUCCGGCCGACCUCCGACGAUGACAAAAAUUACUACUACAAGCUAAAAAAGCUACUACCACCAGCUAUAAAAGCUACUACCACCGCCUACAAAAGCUACUACUGUGAGGUUUUCGACGAACACAAAAGCUACUACCACUAGC
rnacentral:lncRNA from 1 species